rnacentral:rRNA from 1 species
GCCAGCACCUUUGCUGGC